rnacentral:rRNA from 1 species
AGAGUUUGAUCCUGGCUCAGGAUGAACGCUGGCGGCGUGCUUAACACAUGCAAGUCGGACGGGGCAUGCCAUGCGCGAAUCUACGGAAGAGCGCGGGCAUGCCCAGUGGCGGACGGGUGAGUAACGCGUGGGCAACCUGCCCCAUACAGGGGGAUAACAGCCGGAAACGGCUGCUAAGACCGCAUAACAUGCCGCGUGCGCAUGCACGCAGCAUCAAAUAUUGUUAUAGGUAUGGGAUGGGCCCGCGUCUGAUUAGCUGGUUGGCGGGGCAACGGCCCACCAAGGCGACGAUCAGUAGCCGGCCUGAGAGGGUGGGCGGCCACAUUGGGACUGAGACACGGCCCAAACUCCUACGGGAGGCAGCAGUGGGGGAUAUUGGACAAUGGGGGGAACCCUGAUCCAGCGACGCCGCGUGAGUGAAGAGA